UCUUAGGCAUUUCGUGAAGAUCAGUCGCAAUAUGUUGCUGAAAACAAUUUGCUUUGUCUUAAUAAUAAAUACAUUAUUUUCAUUCUCAAAUGCGACUCGGAUUUCCGAUCUUAAUUUGACGAAUUUACUUCUGUCAGUAAAUUCUCAAUUAACCGACAUAAGAGCGGAACAGGAAAAAUUGAUAGAUAGAAUUGUUAAGGAAGCGGAAAUUAAAUCCCUAAGGGCUGAGAUGGAACAACUGAAGAUAGAUGGAGUUAAUAAGGAAUCGAAUAUACAAUAUCUUCUGGAACAACAGAAAAAAUAUGGGGCUGAUAAUCAGACGGAUAUUCAGUCAGUUAGAGUGGACAAUCAACAUAUUAAGGUGGAGCUUCAACAACUUAGAGCGGAGCUGGAACUACAAAAGAAAUACGAAUUGGACAACCAAUCUCUUCGAGCAGAGGUGGAACGACUGAGCAAGUUGAUAUAUAGACUUGUUAUCCCACGCAAUUGUGCCGAGGCCAAGUCUAAAGGGAUCAACGAAAUAGUCAUUUCCAACUUUAGUAGUCAACCUUUUAAAGUUGCCUGCGAUGCAUUAACCCGGGAGGAGGGUGGACUAUUAUUCUGAGGAGAAUGGACGGUAGUGUCAACUUUUAUAGAAAUUGGACUGAGUACAAAAAUGGGUUUGGAGAUAUGGAUGGAGAAUUCUUUUUAGGUUUGGAUAAAAUACACGCACUAACUGCUGAGAGUGAACAGGAGCUACUUGUUGUUGUCGAGGACUUCGAGGGAAUUGAAGCAUUUGAGACGUAUGAUGCCUUUGCAAUUGGCAACGAGGAUCAACAAUAUGAAUUACAUACUCUGGGCAAAGCUAAUGGAACUGCUGGUGACUCCCUGAGAAGACAAGAGGGCAGCAAAUUUUCUACAUUUGAUCGGGACAAUGAUAUUGACAUCACAAACUGUGCCGAGAGAUUCACUGGUGCCUGGUGGUACAAAAAUUGUCACAACAGCAAUUUGAAUGGGAAAUAUAAUGACAACACCUUUGGCAAGGGCGUCAACUGGGAUCAUUUUCGAGGUCCGUAUUACUCCCUGAAAAAAGCUGUGAUGAUGAUAAGACCAACAAAUAAAUUAUAAGCCACAACCAUAUGAACUGUAAUUCGGUAUAAUUUAAUGGACUGUCAGUUACUUUUUGUAAAGAAGGAUGAGCUUUAGGGUGCAUCGAUUUUUAGUUACUAAAAAUUAUAAGAAAAAUUUUUAAUCUACGGUCAA